rnacentral:rRNA from 1 species
UACAGAGGGGGCAAGCGUUGUUCGGAAUUACUGGGCGUAAAGGGCGCGUAGGCGGCCCGCUAAGUCGAACGUGAAAUCCCUGGGCUCAACCCAGGAACUGCGUCCGAUACUGGAAGGCUUGAAUCCGGGAGAGGGAUGCGGAAUUCCAGGUGUAGCGGUGAAAUGCGUAGAUAUCUGGAGGAACACCGGUGGCGAAGGCGGCAUCCUGGACCGGUAUUGACGCUGAGGCGCGAAAGCCAGGGGAGCAAAGCGGG